rnacentral:misc_RNA from 1 species
GAGAGAGAGAGAGAGAGAGGAUAAGAAGAAGAAGAAGAACUACUUACAGAAGAAAUAACUGGAAGGAAAAAAAAAAAUGAAAAUCAUGUCUUUAUUGGUUGGUCAUCUUAAAUUUGGAUCAUACUAGAAUCUAUAUAUGAUGAUACUUUCUGUACAGCAACUUCAUGCUUGUUGGUUUUGUGCUUUUGAUGUAUAAAAUUUUGGUGGUGCUAUGGUUUUUCAGUAGCUUUUUACAUCAUAUAGAGUUUGCUUGAUAUUAUAUUACUGUUGGAUU